AUGGCAGCAAUUUCUGCCCUAGUUUUAUCUGACUUUUCAUUUAAUUCUUCUGAAAGGGCAUUCAUCCCUUUGUGGAGGAAGCUAAUGAGGCGCUGGUACCAGAGGCCUAGUUCCUAUGUGCCAAAAACAGCAUCUUGCAGAACUGCAAGACGUAUGACCUUGGUUUAUCAAAGACUUUCCAAGGAAGCAUUACUCAAAACCACUAACCCAGUGAAACUGGAGACCACUAUCUGUCACCAACAUGAAAACAGAAACUUUUUGAGUUAUUGUAUACCAAAUAUAAGGAAAUAUGGAAAAUUACCAAAAUCCAGAAGUACGCUCAUAACUCUUGAUCAUACAGAAAAUCAUACGUGCUGAUGCAGUGAGGUGAUUUUGGAGAAUGAGGGAAGGAAAACAGAACACAUUGAAUUUGUCAUGGUUUCUACUUAACACAGAAACUAAAGGUAUCUUAAAAAUGUAGUCCUUCAGGCCAACUAAUGUGCUCUGCUGCAUAAUUCCUGAUUGGCUUUGCUAGGCUUGUGUUUGACAAUGAACAAGCGUUAGAUAAGUAUAUGCAUAUAUUCACAUAGAUAUUAAGUUGGAGUUGUCAACUGAUGAUUUCUACAGCUCCAGGCCGGAUUUGUUUCUAGAAUGACAUCUGUAGUCAGAUUUUUCAAGUUCAGUUGCUUGCCCAGAACUGCUUGUUUAUUUAAUUACAAAUUUAUACUCAUACUGCUUUAUACUUAGAUUUCCAUAUGCUGUGCCAUUCUGUCACUGAGUAAAGUAUGUUGAGUACAAGGUGUCAUAUAUUUAUCUCAUUUCCAUAAUUUUUCUUACACUUUAUUACUCUGGGUGCCUAAAGUACGGAAUUCAUGAAAUUAAAUUGCAAUACUUUUGGGAAAUUAGGC
rnacentral:lncRNA from 1 species